GACGAACGCUGGCGGCGUGCCUAAUACAUGCAAGUAGAACGCUGAAGGAGGAGCUUGCUCUUCUGGAUGAGUUGCGAACGGGUGAGUAACGCGUAGGUAACCUGCCUGGUAGCGGGGGAUAACUAUUGGAAACGAUAGCUAAUACCGCAUAAUAGUAGAUGUUGCAUGAUAUUUACUUAAAAGGUGCAAUUGCACCACUGCCAGAUGGACCUGCGUUGUAUUAGCUAGUUGGUGGGGUAACGGCUCACCAAGGCGACGAUACAUAGCCGACCUGAGAGGGUGAUCGGCCACACUGGGACUGAGACACGGCCCAGACUCCUACGGGAGGCAGCAGUAGGGAAUCUUCGGCAAUGGACGAAAGUCUGACCGAGCAACGCCGCGUGAGUGAAGAAGGUUUUCGGAUCGUAAAGCUCUGUUGUAAGAGAAGAACGAGUGUGAGAGUGGAAAGUUCACACUGUGACGGUAUCUUACCAGAAAGGGACGGCUAACUACGUG
rnacentral:rRNA from 1 species